rnacentral:rRNA from 1 species
GGAAUCUUGCGCAAUGGGGGCAACCCUGACGCAGCCACGCCGCGUGGGUGAAGAAGGCCUUCGGGUCGUAAAGCCCUGUCAGGUGGGAAGAACCGCAGCCGGGUUAAUAUCCUGGCUGCCUGACGGUACCACACAAGAAAGCACCGGCUCACCCCGUGCCAGCAGCCGCGGUAAUACGGGGGGUGCAAGCGUUGCUCGGAAUCACUGGGCGUAAAGCGUCCGCAGGCGGCUUGAUAAGUCGGGUGUGAAAGCCCGGGGCUCAACCCCGGAACUGCAUUCGAAACUGUCUGGCUUGAGUACGGGAGAGGGUCGCGGAAUUCCUGGUGUAGAGGUGAAAUUCGUAGAUAUCAGGAGGAACACCGGUGGCGAAAGCGGCGACCUGGCCCGAUACUGACGCUCAUGGACGAAAGCGUGGGGAGCAA